rnacentral:misc_RNA from 1 species
UAAUAAGUGUUUUAUGGCACUUUUUAAAUCCAUAUCCACCUUGUGUGCAAUGUCAGCCGAUCUUCUUCAUGGAGAUCGACCAAACAUCAACCUUUAUUUUUUAACUCUUUGUCUGAAAAAUAUUAUGAAUAAACAAUUCAAAAUA